UGGUGAAGCUCCAGACAUGAUCCGGAC
rnacentral:piRNA from 1 species